AUGACCUUUAAAAUUAGUCCCGUGAGGCUAAGAAGGAAAUCUGCGUGUGCUAGUCUUUUUUGUGCUAGCAGAAACAGAAAGACCAUCUUGGACUCAGUGUCCUUGGUGGUCUUUUUCUU
rfam:Lactobacillus acidophilus NCFM, complete genome.